CUGAAUCCAUUCCGAACUCAGAAGUGAAACGAAAUAGCGUCGAUGGUAGUGUGGGGUUUCCCCAUGUGAGAGUAGAACAUCGCCAGGC
rnacentral:rRNA from 1 species